CCUAAAAUAUGAGAGAGAAUUGGUAUAUAUUUUGCUAAAUAGGAUAGUAGCCAUGCCUAGUCUUUUUUGUCUCAUUUUGGACUCCACCGCUGAUAAGAAAAUGUUUUAUUUGGGGAAAGUAAGUAAAACUUAAUCAUUGACUUGGUCUAAAGAGCUAUUUCCAUGUUUCCUCUUGUGGCCAUUCUUAUCACAUCGCCUCCCAGAAUCUCCUAUUUCCUCUAGAUCAUGAUCUCUUCCUUUAAUCCAAGACGUUACCAGUUUUGCCACUUGGUCUUUGGUCAUCUUUGGGUGAUAGUUGGUCACACAGUUGGCACAUUUUCUUUUAGUUCAUUUGUCUUGGGAAGUUAAAAAUAUAAGUCUAUAUGUU
rnacentral:lncRNA from 1 species